CCUACGGGAGGCAGCAGUGAGGAAUAUUGGUCAAUGGCCGGAAGGCUGAACCAGCCAUGCCGCGUGAAGGUCAGUGCCCUUUGGGCGUUAAACUUCUUUUGUACGGGAGUAAUAAUAGUCACGUUUGGCUAGACGAGAGUACCUUACGAAUAAGCAUCGGCUAACUCCGUGCCAGCAGCCGCGGUAAUACGGGGGAUGCAAGCGGUAUCCGGAUUUAGUGGGUUUAAAGGGUGCGUAUGUUGUGAGGUAAGUCAGCGGUGAAAUGCCUCCGCUUAACCGGGUGAAGGGACAUUGAUACUGCCGGGCGGGAGUACGGAUGAGGUGGGAGGAAUGUGUGGUGUAGCGGUGAAAUGCAUAGAUAUCACACAGAACACCGAUUGCGAAGGCAGCUCACGAAUCCGCGACUGACGCUGAUGCACGAAAGCGUGGGUAUAAAACAGGAUUAGAUACCCUAGUAGUC
rnacentral:rRNA from 1 species